UGGGGAAUUUUGGACAAUGGGCGAAAGCCUGAUCCAGCAAUGCCGCGUGUGUGAAGAAGGCCUUCGGGUUGUAAAGCACUUUUGUCCGGAAAGAAAUCCUUGGCUCUAAUACAGUCGGGGGAUGACGGUACCGGAAGAAUAAGCACCGGCUAACUACGUGCCAGCAGCCGCGGUAAUACGUAGGGUGCAAGCGUUAAUCGGAAUUACUGGGCGUAAAGCGUGCGCAGGCGGUUUGCUAAGACCGAUGUGAAAUCCCCGGGCUCAACCUGGGAACUGCAUUGGUGACUGGCAGGCUAGAGUAUGGCAGAGGGGGGUAGAAUUCCACGUGUAGCAGUGAAAUGCGUAGAGAUGUGGAGGAAUACCGAUGGCGAAGGCAGCCCCCUGGGCCAAUACUGACGCUCAUGCACGAAAGCGUGGGGAGCAAACAGGAUUAGAUACCCUGGUAGUCCACGCCCUAAAACGAUGUCAACUAGUUGUUGGGGGAUUCAUUUCCUUAGUAACGUAGCUAACGCGUGAAGUUGACCGCCUGGGGAGUACGGUCGCAAGAUUAAAACUUAAAUGGAAUUGACGGGGUCAUAGCUGUUUCCU
rnacentral:rRNA from 1 species